rnacentral:rRNA from 1 species
UAGGGAAUCUUCCACAAUGGGCGAAAGCCUGAUGGAGCAACGCCGCGUGAGUGAUGAAGGCCUUCGGGUUGUAAAACUCUGUCAUUCGGGACGAACCGGAGUCUGAGGAAAUGCAGACUCUCUGACGGUACCGGAGGAGGAAGCCCCGGCUAACUACGAGCCAGCAGCCGCGGUAAUACGUAGGGGGCAAGCGUUGUCCGGAUUCACUGGGCGUAAAGCGCGCGCAGGCGGUGAUGUAAGUCUGAGGUGAAAACCCGAAGCUCAACUUCGGGACUGCCUUGGAUACUGCGUCACUUGAGGAUAGGAGAGGCAAGGGGAAGUCCACGUGUAGCGGUGAAAUGAGUAGAGAUGUGGAGGAACACCAGUGGCGAAGGCGCCUUGCUGGCCUAUUUCUGACGCUGAGGCGCGAAAGCGGGGGGAGCAAACAGG